UACGUAGGGGGCAAGCGUUGUCCGGAAUCAUUGGGCGUAAAGAGCGCGUAGGCGGUCCGGUAAGUCCGCUCUGAAAGUCCGGGGCUCAACCCCGGGAGGCGGGCGGAUACUGUCGGGCUAGAGUCCGGAAGAGGCGAGUGGAAUUCCUGGUGUAGCGGUGAAAUGCGCAGAUAUCAGGAGGAACACCAAUGGCGAAGGCAGCUCGCUGGGACGGUACUGACGCUGAGGAGCGAAAGCAUGGGGAGCGAACAGG
rnacentral:rRNA from 1 species